AUGGUGAUAUGGAAUUUCCUAUUCUCAUGUGUGCCAUUUGGAAGCACCACCCAUACCGAAGCCACUAUGAAACUCCAUCCCCUAGGUCUCUUCCUGCUCUCUUGCACUUGGCUGCUACUAUGUGCUGCCGCGCCGGUGACGGUGAGAGCAGGCAUCCGGCGUGAAGCGGAAGCGCUAGUGAAUUGGAAGGCUAGCUUGGUCAGUGCGGAUGACUCCCUUGGAUCAUGGUCGUUGGCCAACUCCACCAGCCUUUGCAAGUGGACGCACAUCACUUGCAACUCGGCUGGGCACAUGACAGAGCUCCUUCUUAUGCAGACAAGUUUGAACGGCACACUUGACAGGUUCGACUUCUCGGCUUUUCCCCACCUGAAGAGUCUCACCUUGUUCAGCAAUGGUCUAUAUGGUACAAUUCCAGCAGGGAUUGGCAACCUGACGAGCUUGGCCCAGUUGUAUAUCUUCAAUAAUACAUCUUUGAGGGGUGCCAUUCCGCACAGCAUUGGACAACUUAAGCACCUUUCUGAACUGUAUCUAUCACUCCUGGGGCUCGAUAGCAAUCUACCUGAAGAGAUUGGUAACUUGACGACAUUGGAGGAGCUCCAUCUUCACUCGGUUACUUUGACCGGGUCAAUUCCACGAACAAUUGGGAAGCUGGUGAAGCUCCGCGAGCUCAGCAUGCAAAAGAACAAUCUGACAGGGAGCAUCCCACUUGAGAUUGGAAACAUCACACAACUAAACAACCUGCAAUUAUGGUAUAACUAUUUACAAGGGCAGCUACCAGGUACCAUCUCUAAUUUGGCGUCACUCCAGGAAUUGGUUCUGACAGGAAACCAGCUCGGAGGCCACAUCAUCUCUGAGUUUGGGAAUAGCAGCCUCCUGGAUACAGUUGAUAUUGAAAGGAACAACUUCUCCGGGCUGUUCCCGUCAUCCAUUUGCAUAGGAGGACGGCUGCGUAUUGUGAGUGCUAGGUCCAAUGGAUUCACGGGCAUUCACCACCACACCUUCCGAAACUGCACAUCCGUGAGGUAUGUUGACUUCACGGCAAACAACAUUGUUGCAGAUAUAAAGGACUGUGUUGGCGAGCAUCCAUGGCAGCUUAGCAUGAUGAGUUUGGGUCAAAAUCACUUGUAUGGCAGGCUACUGACAGAUGGGGGCAAGGUAUUCAUUUGUAACUCUACUUAUUUAACCUUCCUAGACCUAUCAAACAAUUUGUUAGAUGGAGGUCUCCCCAAGUGUUUGUGGGACAUGCCAAGUUUGGGAUACAUGGAUCUUUCCAGCAAUUCUUUCAGUGGUGUAGUUCCCUCUUGGAAGACUUGCGAAGAUAAUCUUAUCUGUUUACGCCUAGCCAAUAACCAUUUGAAAGGAACCUUUCCUUUGGGUCUUAGGAAAUGCAAAAACCUUAUCAGUCUAGAUCUUGGAGGCAAUAAUUUCUCAGGUAGAAUACCUUCUUGGAUAAGCAAGAGCUUGCCAAAUCUCAUUGUUCUUCGAUUGUCAUCAAAUAUGUUUGGUGGAAUCAUACCCCACCAGAUAUUAAAAUUCCAGCAACUCCAUGUAUUGGACUUGUCAAAAAACAACCUCAGUGGACCCAUUCCAGACAAUUUUACCAAUUUUACUGGCAUGGUACAUAAUGCAGAAGACAUUGUCUCGGACAAUAAUCUAAGAUUUGAGAUAAUUAGUGGGCAGACUCAAAUAGUUUGGAAAGGUGCGGAUCAUGGUUUCCCAAUCCUAAUGGUAGGUAUUGUGGGUAUCGACUUAUCUGGCAACUCUCUGUCACAAGAGAUUCCAAAGGGGCUCACAACCCUUCUUGGACUGAGGUAUCUGAACUUAUCAGGAAAUCAUUUGUUGGGCUGCAUUCCCGAAGACAUUGGCAAUCUAGUACUGCUGGAAUCCUUGGACCUUUCUCUGAACCGACUCUCGGGAGAAAUUCCUCCAAGCUUUGCAGGUUUGAAGAGCAUAACCGCUCUGAACCUCUCGAGUAACAAUUUAUCGGGGUUGAUACCUAUGAGCGAUCAGCUGCGAACGCUCCCAGAUCCAUCCAUAUACAGCAACAAUCCAGGGUUAUGUGGUUUCCCCUUGGAGGGCUGUGUAGACUCGCCGACAUCGACGCAAAGCGGAAUGAGCCAGGCUGAAGACAACAGGGAGGCAUUGUGGCUGUAUUGCUUUGUGGCUGCUGGGUUCAUCUUUGGGUUCUGGCUGUACUGCGGCAUGUUCUGGUUUUACAGCGAGACCUGGAGGUGUGCAUUCUAUCAGUAUGUGGACAACAUGCAAGGGAAGGUAACCAAGAAGAUGUAUAGCUGCAUGUCAUACUUCCAGGCCAAGGUCCAUGGAUGA
rnacentral:rRNA from 1 species